rnacentral:misc_RNA from 1 species
CGCAUUAUCACUCAGUUUCGGGUGGAAGGGGAGUACGCCGAUUUGUAGAGGCGCUUCUUUUCUCCUCUACCCCACUCCCAUCACCCCCUGUCCUCCAUCACUGCAGCACAGCUCUUUGUGUGCGCGAGUUGGCUUGAGUGUUCGGAGGCGGUGGUGUUUGAGAGGUUGUUUCCGAAGUAGACACAUCUCUUGUCGCCGUCGAAGUCGUUUGUGGAAGACACGAUCGUCGUGAUAUCUCCCCACCCCCCUGGAUUGCUCACCGCCUCACAGACUGGUGGGGCCACGCACACAUACUCACCAGUACUCGUACAUGCGUACAUCAUAGUAGGGACACUGACUGGAUAGUCUUCAUUCGACUGUGCUAAUUUUCCUUUUUGCCUUUUGUUGUGCUAUUCUCUUCUCCUUUCCUCACGCACCGACAGGCCUCCGCAUCCUUUUCCACCCUCGCCCGCGAGCGUGCUUGUUUGUUUUGCCACUCUCUGAUUGCAACUGCCGCUCCCUUCCUCUCAUCACUCCAUUGCCCCUCUUCCCUUGUCCUCCGCCGCGCUCACCUCGUAUUUUCGCUUACCUCGUGCGUAUCUACUCUUCUGUGUCUGUCUGUGUUUAUGUGUUCGCUAGCGUCUCCUUCCCUCAUCAACGUUUUCCUUUCCUAUCUAAGCCCCUCUCCCACACUCUCUCCAGUGCUCAUUCACAUUUUGUUGAAGUGUGUCCGUGAUUGCCUCAGAUUGUGUGAACGCCCCCCCUCCCACUCACCUCCCUCCACCCCUCUUGUACAUAACGAAACACAUAAGCACGUCAUCACACACACACACACAGACUGCAGGGGGGUAUACAUCCCCUUCACCCGCUCCACAGCGCCAUCUGCCCUUCGCCUUUUCCCUCCUUCGGGUUCCCUUUUUCGUUUGAGCUUUUGUUUCGGUGUUGCGCGUAGGUGUCUGUGCCCCCGGCCGUCUACGCUAGUCACCUCCCUCCCCCUGUCUGUGCGUGCGCGCGUUUUUCAACCCGCUUGUGCCACUCCAAACUCUCCCUUUGCUCGAUCCCCCCAUCGGCUCCUCCCGCUUCGCUCUCUCGCUUUCCCGUCCCGCCUCCCGUGUUCGCUUGCGCUUGCGUGUGCUAUCGUUUUGUGUCUGGCGCCUUUGGUGGGCUUCACACUCCAUUUUCCACUCCACCGGCUCUCCGUUUCCUCCGCUCUGCAGUGUCGCGAUCGCAAUAAACACGACAGAAUCUGCUGAAAGCUUUCCGUCGUCUUAGACUCCACCUCCCUCGCUCCCGAUCUCCUGCUGCAGUUUUCCCAGCACCUCUUUAGGUGUGUAGGGGGGUGUUUCACCUCGCUAGUCCCUUCCCCUAUUGUAGACCCGUUGCACCCUACCUCCUGGUGCCUCUCACUUCUUCUGCCCGUGCGUGUUUCUCUGCGUAUCCAGCGUGUGCUAGCGCGUGUCGCUGCCAACAUUGCCUUGCCCACAUCCCCGCCCCGAAUCUUUCCUCCCUCUCCCUCGCAGGCUCAUCGCGCAUCCAGCACCUCAAAGAGGCGCACGUGGGCACGCACACGCUUCUAUGCGAUUGUGCGCCCCCUUAGGCACACAUACAGCCGCCUUUCGCGCAGGUGGUACCCCUGCGCAGGAGCACGCAAGCACAGGAAUGCAAAGAGGAAUGGAGAAGACGAUGUCCCGCGACGUGGAUGUCGAGUCGGCCUUCACGGCGUUGUCGCCGAGCGCCGGCGAGAAAGAGAUGGUGCACGGCGCAAACGCUGCUUCGGGCCUUUACUGCUUCAAGGACACUCUUCGCAUUGAGCUCCCCGUCAUUUCCAGCGAGCACUGCGCGACAUUUUCGAGUCUAGCAGACGGCACUGGAGGCGGCUCUCCUGAAACGGCGAUAUACCGCCCCUCUGAGACCGCGUUUAGCCUCGAAAUAGAGGAGUGCACGCCGCUCUCGAUCGAAGAGGACAACGCACGUCAGUCGGCAGUGGCGCUGCUGCAGGCUGGCAUCUUGCCAAAGUCCGCCGGCGGCUCAAGCAGGCGAGGGACCAGUAGAAGACUUCCAUCGUUCAUUCCAACCUUCAGCAGCCUCGAGCCCAUCGAGGCGAUGCGCAAGAAGUCGCCUGUAAGCCUCUUCACGAGCAUCAGGCGCAAGAAUAUAUGCAGCUUGUCGAUGGAGGCUGACCUCACCAGAGGCGGGGAGCCAGACGGCGUGAUCCCAUGCUCGGGGGAGUUCAACCGCAGUAGCGGAAGCUUCGAGUUGCACCCCGACCUGACAACUGUGAUUGCGCGGGGUGCCUCUAGCGCUGCGCCCUCGCCGGAGCGGCAGCAGCGGUGCGGUUCUACCUUCACCUCCCCGGCCCCCUCACAAACGGCAUCAUCGAUGUCGCUCGCUGAUGAGUCGGAGGAAAGCGGCGACAGCUCUGACCAAGGCAUCGAGAUGGACCUCGUGCUCCGGGAUGCCUCCAAGAUUCGUGGUCUGCGACUGACAUGGCUUCUGUACAUGUUGAUUGUGAUGGUCAUCGUCCUCUUCGUGCUGGUGCUAGUGCAGAUCACCUACGAAACAAGCCGCAUGCUGACGCGAUCUGCCACGGAAGCGGUACAGGCCCAGGCGGCAUCCUUGCUCAACAGCGUGGACAUGCAGCAGUACGCUCUGGAGAAGCUUUUCGAGGUGAUGCGCGAAGCGAAAAUCACGGGUUUCUCCCCUGACUCUAUCACCCACAUCAUCGUGCGGGACAUCAUCUGCUCCAGCCUCUACCGUGCCCCCAUCGCGUUCGCCAUGUACGGCAAGGCCGGCGAGCUGCAGUGGAAGACAUCUUGCAAGUGGAACGACACCGUUGACAUGCUGGCCGAGCUCCCCAAAACGGUAUUGCCGGGCAUCGCUUUUAUGCGUAUCGUCGACUACGGCAAGUUGGCGCUCGCCUACCGCACCUUCUACGCCAGCAGCGGCGGUGUUGAGACCUAUGUAGUCAUGACAGAGAAGGAAACACUGGGCCGCAUCCUCAUGAACAACGACAUGGCCGACUACAGCACCGCCACCCUGCAGUCCGUCAUGACAGCUUUCUUUCUUCCGCGAUGGAACUCGACGCAACUAACGAUGCUCUUUCACACCCUAACGAAAGAGGCGCGCUCCUACACGAACACACCCACGUCGCCCAGCGCGGCAGCGCUGACGGCCGCCUUUGAGUCAUUAUGCCACACGGACUCACCGUAUGUUUGGCACAUCGUGCUGAUGCCUGUGAACGCGUCGGGGAUUGUGAAACAGUCCAUCAGAGCUGCAGACUGGCCAGAGACCAAGACACGCACCAUCCCGACCCCCCGUUUCGAGUACAAGCGGACGUGGGGCCAGCUGUCGAAGGCGAAUCUCUGUGGCGUGAAGUGCAUGAGCGCUGAAGGCGACAAGUGCACCCUCGACAAUCCGACAAACGUUUGGUUCCUCGUCGACUACACAAUGGCCCAUCUCGAGUCUAUUCACACCACUGUGGCAAUCGUGGGAGCGCUGAGCGUCAUGGCGGUGGUGAUCUUUAGUGUUAUCAUGUUCCUCGUGUACCUCAGCAUCACCGUACCGGUGAACUACCUCCGUUACCAGCUCAUGCGAGCCGUCGGGUCAAACGAGAUGGCGACGCCGUGGCAGCGAAAGAUUGUGCGCUGGACGUAUCGCCUGUGGCUCGGCGACCUCACGUCGAUUGCGCGGUCGAUUUACAUUCUGAGUCUGUGCUUCCGCCUUAACAAGAAAUACGUGCCGGACCAUGUCUUGCGCAACCACGCGAAGCAGCUCUACAUGCGGCGCCGCAAAUUCAACUUUCUGGAAGAGGCGGACUUAAAGGAAGACACAAUGCUGGAACACGACACGGACUCCGACAACGAGGCAGAGUCGCCGCUGGUUGGUGUGAACACCGUCCUGCCACCCUCCGACAAGCGCUUUCUCUGGCACUUCUCUGUGACGCACGACAAGGAUGAAGCGGAUCACGCAGCGUCCGAAAACGGGGUGGGGGCGAGGAUCUCUGACGGUGCGACUUUCGCAGAGGUCUCGCCCGUUUACGCGCCGCGACCGCAGCUGCCCACCACCUCAUACGAGGUGGUGGUGCCCUGCGGAAGAGCGGCACCAGCGCCGCGUGGGGUUGGAUUGCCACGUGACGUCCCUCUCAACGUGAAGGCCUACGGCGAGCUGGAGGACACGGUGGCGAUGCAGGAGGCGUCCACGAUGGCCGCCGCCACCGCCAUGACCACUCAGAGCAGCAACGACAUCAUGAGCAUUCGCCGCGAGUACGAGACCACUGUUUUGUGCAUCCGCAUCCCGAGUGUCGAGCUGGCCUACCUGAUCAACUAUUCCGGAGCAGCUCACCAGCACCGCCGCCUCAUGCGAGUCCUGUUGCACCGCAUUCGGCGGCACAAGGGAGCGUUGUUUCACUGCUCUGGUGACUGCCUGGGAGCCGUAUGGAACGCAUUUGAAGGCUGCCCGAACCAUGCGGAGUGUGCGGCAGUGUGCGCGCAGGAGAUUGCCAACGCCUUUGCACCAUACCGGAGCGACGGCCUGUAUGUCGGCAUGGUGCUGCACCAGGGCACACUCGUGUGUGGCACGGUCGAGUACUCGAAGACGGCCUUCGUGACAGCGUUCGGCGACGGUCCGCGUGAGGCGCUAGCUGUGGCAGAGCUGGCUGCUGCCGUCAAAACCCUCAACGUUCUCGUCACUGAGCCGGUCAAGCAGGCGCUCUCGGGCUUGUACGAUUGCAACAUCGUCGACGUCAUCCAGCUCCCCAAUUCGGCCCACCCGCUGCUGCUCUUCGAGCUGAGCGGCAGCCGCACGCCAGAGGGAUCACUGAACGAUACGCACCUGCAGGCACCCACACAGGCGGAGUUUUCUAUAGACUACGCGCGCGCCUUUGCCCAGUUCCGCAACCACGAGUUCAGCAAGGCGCUGCAGAGCAUUCAGAAACUCCGCACGCACAUCAGCAGUCGCAACGUGCAUCUGCUGCGUCGGCUGGAGCGCUUGUGUCUCUUCUACUCCGCCCAGCCCGCCGCUCUCCCGCGUCCCUACCACCGCGCCUUCCCGGUGUGGGUCAACUACGAGGCCAUCGCGCAGGCAGGGCUGCGCAACGACCCGCAUUUGACGACAUCGCAGACUGAAAGCUUGACGGCCCACAACAUGAACAGAGGUCUAGUGUACCAGGGAGUGCCGGUGCUGCGCAACGACAUGGACUGCAUCCGCGACUUCAAGCAGGAGCUGCAGGCAAACAUGCGCCGACUAGUGUCGCCGCAACGGACGACGCGCCAAAGCGGCUCUCCCACCUUAGACAACGCUGCCACCCCCACACAAGACAGCCUACACGCCUCCCUGCCAAUGCGGUCCACGCCAUUGCCGAUGCCUAUGAGUGCCGGGAUGUUGUUGGAGGUCAGCGGAGACCUCUCCGAGUCACUGUCGGCAGCCAUGCCAGCGAAGCCCCGCUACGUCGACCCUCAAGAAAAUGCUGCAGAGAUGAGCCUCCCACCUCUACGGCCGGCACCGGUGGUAACGGUGGCGCCGCCUUGUUUCAUUGCAGGGCCACCGUUGGUGGCCGCGUCGGCAGCGACACCGAUUGCAUGCGAGGAAGCCAAGGGCCGCAAUGGACCGGAGUGGACGAGCCCUGAGGUGUCGUCUCCACACGGCAUGCCCUUUCCGUCGAGGCACCCGGCCGUGACGCACAGCGCCACGAAUCUCCCGCCUGUGGCGGUGGCGGGCACCCCCGACCUCGUCACCGCCUCUGCUGCCCUGCUGCAGAGCGCCGCCACGCACACCGACUCCAUCAACAGCUCCGCGCAAGCAGACGGCGCGAGCUGCUCUAUCAUUCAAUCCGCUGGCCUCUCCUUUCAGGAGACGGGCGGUAUGCGCGGCUUCUGCGUAAGCAACGAAACACUGCCGGCGACGAUCAAGGCCAAGAACGGGACGACGUACCUGCGAAGUACACGUAUCCUGGGCAAGGGCUCCUUUGGCUGCGUGUACCUUGGAAUGGAUGCCCACUCGGGGCGGCUAGUCGCCAUCAAAUUCCUGCCGCUGCCGAGUGACGAGUCGGGGAUGGAGGUGAUAGAGGCGGAGGUGCUCAUACUGCAGCGGGUCAACGACACGCACGUGGUGCAGCUGCUCUCCUACGCGUUUGAGGGAGACACCAUUGUGAUUUUCAUGGAGUGUAUGCUGGCAGGGUCGCUGCAGAACAUGAUCGCCGCCUUUCGCACCAUCCCCAGCUCCACCGCUCGUGUCUUCAUGCGCGACGUCCUGCGUGGACUGAGCAAGCUGCACUCAAUGGGCGUCAUCCAUCGCGACAUGAAGCCGCAGAAUGUGCUGCUCAGUUUUGCAGGCAACUGCAAGAUUUCCGACUUUGGCGCCUCCGCGUGGCUGCAGGAGCUGGCGCGCAAAGAGUCGAAGGGAGAGGUGUGUGGCACCCCCGUCUACCUCGCCCCAGAGGCAGCGCGCGGCAGCCCGGAGAAGGAGAGCGACAUUUGGAGCUGCGGCAUCAUGUUCUUGCACAUGAUCACUGGCCGGCUGCCGUACUCGCUCGAGCAGCUUGCCUUGGGUGCCGCUGCGCUUGUGUACCAGAUCGGUAGCGGCAUCGCGCAGCCGAAUAUACCCGACGAUCUCGACGUGCUGGAUGCGGAGUUUGUGCGCGCCUGCCUGGACAAGGACCCUAGCAAGCGCACCUCCGCUGCGGGCCUUCUGCAAUUGGCUCUCUUCACCGUAUAAAGGCAGGCGAUGGUCAAACGACAAGGCGCACGCCACCUCCGUGCUGCCCAUGAAUGCACUCUUGUAUGCGUGGAGCGUGGUUGCGUGAGCGCUGUUUUCUCUUCAUCCCCUUCAACACCCGCUCCAUCCACGGCAUUCCUCUUCGAAUAUAUCCCAUGUGACUGGGUGCAGCGGUGGCCGUGUAGUGUAUUAGAGGCUAGAUCGCGGGGCAGACCAUGCUACUGCCCUGCUUCGCGUAUGCCUUGUAUCUCUUCAUGUAGUUGAGCAUGUAAACAGGGCUCUGUCUGCGUGUCUACUACUCCUUUCACACACACACACGCACACCUUCUUUCUUCUUCUUAGCGUUUCAGUGUGUGUGCGCGUUUGUGAGGGUGAAGGACGGCGAAGGACGGAGGCCAUGGGGAGGGUGGCGAGGCCCCAUACCCUCCGUCCUUCGCCGCCAUCUUUGUUGCGGCUUCGGCCUCCGCAUCGCUGGCGUUGGCUUCGUCUCACCACAUGUGCAGAUGGAUGUGUUUGCUCCGCCUUUACUAUUCGUUUGGUGCCCCGCCCUUCCCAUUCCAAUGCGCAGAGUUGCCACGGCAGGCUAUGGAAUGCCGCGGCUGGAGGCGACCGAGAGGGAGAAGCAUGGCAUACAGGUAAGUGCACCGGGUUUCAGAGAGCGCCGUGAGCUGCGGCCGGCCAACUUCCUCCUUGAGGCCAUCCGGCAUUCACCUCGACCACCACCGCCCACUGUUGACCGCACGGCAGACGCCACCGCUUCCGCCCUGGAGCACGACCCUGAACGCCGUACGCAUGCGAUGAAGGGCAAGAAGAGCCCAUUAGGCGCAUGAUCCGAUUCAGCAACGGGUGGCUUGUCCUAGACGACCAGGGUGUAGCCGUGGUGCAGCAGAGGGCAGGCGAAAUGUGGCUGUGAAUGCGUGUAUACUUGUUGGCGUGUUCGUGGUGGAAUAUGGACACGUAAAACCAAUUUCUGCUGCAAUGGCAGUCGUGAUGACGAGGGGCACCCCUAUCCCUGCCAGAUGCAGAGCCACCUCUGCUGGUGUCAGCGCCAAGCGCCUACGACGUAGGAAAGUCGGAGCGAUGCGCUGCCACUGUCAGGGGUGAGACUCUGGAUGGCAUUGUCCUGGAUCGACCUGCAUCAGCAAACGCGCUUGUGCCAUCCAUGUGAUGGGCAGAGUGCCAGCGAGACUCGAGCGUCUCUCGCCCCCGACCCUCACACGGCUUACUUGUGUGGGGAAGCCUGAGCCACCCCGAGGGAUGCGCCAGGUGUGGCGAUCACCACAAUGGGAGCGGCGGUGAGGCGACUUGUGGAGCCGGAGGGUGAGUAGUGUGCGCGGCAGGGAGGCCGUGCUCUUCGAUGACUGAGUCGGCGCAGUUCGGUAGCGCGUUUGCACCGCUGCUGCGCGCCACGCGAUGGGUGGCCUGUGGCGGGCCGGGUAGCGGGGCGUUCGACCUUACGUUAGAUGGCGGAGAAAUGGCGCUGCUGGCGAAGAAAGCAUCGAGCAGUUGCAAGGGUGACGUCUUCGAUUUUCGCACCCAUCACGAGUAUCGCUAGUAGGCGUGCGCGUGCUGCUGCCUCUUCUCCUGUGGCUCACGUGCGUGCGCUUGUGUAUGUGCUCUGGCAUUUUCAUUUUUAUUCACUGUUUUUUUUUUGUUUUGUCUGAUAGGAGCCUGUAGCGCAUGCCGAGUGUGUACGCGAGUGAAGUGAGAGGGUAACCAGGACGUGCACCUGGACACGAGUAUGUGUCCGGGUGUGUGCCUCUUCGUGCCAACAACACGGUCUUGUGCAAUGCUGUGCUGUGCUGCAUGUCUAUAUAUGUUGCGAAGACGUGUGCUGCAGUCUCUGCUGCGGAAGCGGUUACGUGUAUGCCAUUCCUCUCCACCUCGCUUUUCUGUUCUAGUUCGAUAUGCACGCGCACACACGCGCGCUCACUCCGAUGGAUGGUAGAAGGAAGGGGCGCCAAGAAUGAUGUGGCAGGCGAGAUGUGGGGCGAGGGGGAUGGCCUACCCAAGUUCGCUAGCGAUACCUGCAUCUCCCUUUCUCUCCUUGCUGUGUUAAGCGGCUUGAGUCUCCUCGGGCAUGGAUAGAGAAGGGUCUGUGCAUGUGUCGCGUCUCCUCCUCCGCUCAUCGCCUUGCACCUCGACUACUAUACCUUCAGUAUGCCACCGUGUGCGUGUGCGUGUACGUCUCUUCGGCUGUCUGUGUCUCACCUUUCGCUGUGCGUUUUUAUUCCUUCUUCUUUUGUUUAUGUAGUCCCUCCACGCUCUGCGAAUGAGCAUCUGCGUGCUCGGCAUCCUCCAGUAAGCCGUGCACGCAUGUUCGUGUGUGUGUGUGUGCGUGUGUCGUUGUUUCUGUCCUACUCCCUUUUAUGUAUGUGUGUGUCUCCGGCCUAUCCGCCGCC